UUGCAGCCGAUUAAGCCAACCAUGGAGGCCUGGUGUGCAAUGGUUGCAAACAGCAGCCUCUUCCACAGUGUAUGCAGCCUGUUGCCUGUGGCCGUUGCCUUAAGGAACCCUGGAGACAGCA
rnacentral:snoRNA from 1 species